rnacentral:misc_RNA from 1 species
GUGAGUCAUCGAAUCUUUGAACGCACAUUGCGCCCUUUGGUAUUCCGAAGGGCAUGCCUGUUCGAGCGUCAUUAUCACCCCUCAAGCCCUCGGCUUGGUGUUGGACGGUUUGGUGGAGGCCCCCUCGGGGGCUCCUGCCCCUCCCAAAGACAAUGACGGCGGCCUCGUUGGACCCCCGGUACACUGAGUUCUUCACGGGACACGUAUCGGACACAUGGGUUUACGGGACACGGUCUGCCUCCCCUCAGGGAGAAUCUUUCUAAGGUUGACCUCGGAUCAGGUAGGGAUACCCGCUGAACUUAAGCAUAUCAAUAAGCGGAGGA